rnacentral:rRNA from 1 species
GACGAACGCUGGCGGCGUGCUUAACACAUGCAAGUCGAACGGAAAGGCCCUGCUUUUGUGGGGUGCUCGAGUGGCGAACGGGUGAGUAACACGUGAGUAACCUGCCCUUGACUUUGGGAUAACUUCAGGAAACUGGGGCUAAUACCGGAUAGGAGCUCCUGCUGCAUGGUGGGGGUUGGAAAGUUUCGGCGGUUGGGGAUGGACUCGCGGCUUAUCAGCUUGUUGGUGGGGUAGUGGCUUACCAAGGCUUUGACGGGUAGCCGGCCUGAGUGGGUGACCGGCCACAUUGGGACUGAGGUACGGCCCAGACUCCUACGGGAGACAGCAGUGGGGAAUAUUGCACAAUGGGCGGAAGCCUGAUGCAGCAACUCCGCGUGCGGGAUGACGGCCUUCGGGUUGUAAACCGCUUUCGCCUGUGACGAAGCGUGAGUGACGGUAAUGGGUAAAGAAGCACCGGCUAACUACGUG